UCCGGUUGAUCCUGCCGGACCCGACUGCUAUCGGAAUGGGACUAAGCCAUGCGAGUCGUAUGUCCCUGAACUGCCAGGGGCAUGGCGAACGGCUCAGUAACACGUGGCCAACCUACCCUCAAGAUGCGGAUAACCCCGGGAAACUGGGACUAAUCCGCAAUAGGUCCAGAUUUCUGGAAUGAAUCUGGACCGAAAAGGUAACAUGAGCAUGUUUCAUGUUACCGCUUGAGGAUGGGGCUACGGCCGAUCAGGCUGUUGGUGGGGUAACGGCCCACCAAACCUUUGACCGGUACGGGCUUUGAGAGAAGGAGCCCGGAGAUGGACACUGAGACAAGGGUCCAGGCCCUAUGGGGCGCAGCAGGCGCGAAACCUCCACAAUGGGCGAAAGCCUGAUGGGGUUAUUCCGAGUGCCAUCCGCUAAGGAUGGCUUUUCCCAAGUCUAAACCGCUUGGGGAAUAAGGGGAGGGCAAGUCUGGUGUCAGCCGCCGCGGUAAUACCAGCUCCCCGAGUGGUCGGGACGGUUAUUUGGCCUAAAGCAUCCGUAGCCGGCCCUGUCCGUCUUCCGUUAAAUCUAACGGCCCAACCGUUAGGCUGCGGAAGAUACCACAGGGCUAGGGGGCGGGAGAGGUGGACGGUACUCCAAGGGUAGGGGUAAAAUCCUCUGAUCCUUGGAAGACCACCGGUGGCGAAGGCGGUCCACCAGAACGCGCCCGACGGUGAGGGAUGAAAGCUGGGGGAGCGAACCGGAUUAGAUACCCGGGUAGUCCCAGCCGUAAACGAUGCGAGCUAGGUGACAGAAUGGCCUAAGAGCCAUUCUGCUGCCGCAGGGAAGCCGUUAAGCUCGCCGCCUGGGGAGUACGGACGCAAGUCUGAAACUUAAAGGAAUUGGCGGGGGAGCACCACAAGGGGUGAAGCCUGCGGUUCAAUUGGAUUCAACGCCGGG
rnacentral:rRNA from 1 species